GUAUACGCGAGCAGCAGACCCGAUAAAUAAAAGAUUGUUCGGCAAACGAAGAAGGAACUGCAGCAUUUCGUCCGUUUCGUUACUAUACCUGCUGCAACCCACCAAGUGAUGUACACACACGCGGAGGCUCUCACAUUUUUCGAAGACGAGAUUGGCCCGUAGCUCCCGUUUGCGGUUUCUAAAAGAAUUAUGCAUCAAGUACGUAUACGUGUUCAACGAUCUGCGGGGCUUAAUACAUGUAUAUGCAGAGGUGUUGAGAAAUUUUAGACACCCUGCAUAAAUACACCGCGACUACGUGAAAUCGGGACAUCGAUCAAUCGGGAGAGUGCUCGAAGGUCACCGUUACAGAAGAGUUAUCUGCACAGAUACAGGUAUACGUGCAGUUUUCGUUGCACGUUGGUUUCAUUGUAUUAAUAAAUCAGUGGACGAUUUAGCUAAUAGGCCAUCUGGCUGUGCCUGAAAUAUAUGUAUCAAUUUGUCAGACCAGCCCGACGUAUAUUACCUGCGCUGGGAAGACGAAUCUCCAUAUAUAGAUGUAUAAGUAUACGCUUCGAAACAUGAUCGCGGUUACGCGUCUGAUGGCCGAAUAUCAAUUGUCUUUAAUUCGUACUAGUCUCGCCUAUUCUCAAAACAAUUCCAAGGCAACAUCGGCGAUCAACGGACGUAUAGAUCUCCGGAUGAGUCGAUCUCGCGUUUGACUGCUGCAGCUAUAACCUUGAAGCUCUUAAUUUUUCAUCGAUUCUCGGUCCUAUGCUUACGCGACGUCGAACGAAUCAAUGCAAAUCAUUUGUACUAUUCGCACUCACUCUUCUAAACACCCCUUUCAUUUUCUAAAAUAUAACA